rnacentral:lncRNA from 1 species
UUUCUCCUAACUAAAUUCAUUUCUCUUAGCCAUAAACAGUUAGCUAUGUAUUCUUUUAGAGAAAUCCUAGUACACUGUACAUUCUUGUUUUGAAAAGCAUUGGAUGCAAUAGCCAUUUGGGAUAAAAUUCAAAGUCAGCUAAUUAUUAUGUUUGGCUAAUUUUCCGAUGCUAUAGAAUUGAUUCUCCCAGCUGAGAAGGAUUUCUUGUUUAUAAUUCUGGUAUAAAAACAAUUAUAGCAGCUCCAUCCCGCUAGAUUCAUACAAAUAUCCCUAACAUCAAUUCCACCAAGUGGGAACUCAAUAUUUUACUAUGUACUCUUUUAACAUCUCACGCUGAUUAACUUACAAUGACCUCACGAGCCCAAUUUCAAAAUCUCAUUUUCAACAUUAUAUUUUUCCAUCAUCUGUAUUCCCCCCUACAAACUAACCCAGAUGAGAACAGAACACAUCCCACACAAUCAAGAAAGAAGGAAAUGAUAAUCUCUACAAAGAUGGCAAACCCAAAUCCUCAACUGCAUCAAACCCUGUGGUUCAUUAGACCAUUUUCCAUUCUAACAAAUAAAAUUACAAGACAUUUUUUCUUUUAUUCCUCUUUGAUCGAUUGAUUCUCUUAUAGACUUCCCCCAAGUCAUGCUACAUUAAAAAAUCCCACAUAACAAUUAACAAGGGACCUUCAACUUUCUCCCUAAAAACAUGACAGGUAAAACAUGCAGCAGAUCCACAUAAUCCAUAAACACAAUCAGAGAUAUUAGAAUCAAUAUAACCCUCAGAAAGAAAAAAAAAACAGCCAUCACAUUCAGUUCUCUUGGUAUUGGAUUCAGUUCCAGCACCAUUACCAAAGUAUCUAGCACAAACAAAAUUUCAACUAAAAAAACACUGCAAUGCAAUACUAUCACAUUCACCUCCCAUUCACAGAUUUCAUAACAAUGUGGCACGAGAAAUUUCAAAUCCAUUAAUUCAACACCAACCUAAUCAUCUUUUCAUCGAGGCACAGAAAUCAACGAACCUGAGUUUGUUUGAGCUUAAUCAAAAGCUCUUUCUGAACAGAGAAAGCUUCAUGUAUCCUAUUGGUGACCUCCAGCACCUGUCCACCAAUAAUCUCCGCAGCACUGGAAACCCUACCGAGAUAUUGAUCGAUCAGAUCGCCGAAGGCAACAACGGAUGGAUCGAGUGCCGCAUCGGAAGCGUCGGCCGGAGAGCUGGCGGGAUGGCCUCCGGUAGAUAUCGCCUCCAAACGCAACACCGCCGAUUCCAAUCGCUGUAUGAGCUUCUCAUCCAUGAUGAUCGGAAGCAGUUUUUUUCCGGUGACGAUAAACGAAAUGAAACAGAUCUGGCACCGCUUAUGAAGCCGUUAAUUCUUUAUUCGUUUUUUGGCUUUGGGAAUAUUUUAAAAAUAGUUAUAGGGAAAAGAAUUUAUUAUUAUGAAUAGAUAAAAUAUAUGAAGGAAAACCACUUUAUCUUACUUUGUGCGUUGCGUGGGGUUGGGUGUUUUUUGCAUUUGAUAAAAUGUGUUAAAAGGAAUUUCUGAAAACCCACGUGUCGUGUCAUGCGCACAUAGUAAUGGAUAGGACAAUUACGGAACUGGGCUUUUCAUAAACACAAACUUAUUGUACACCAUUCUUAAUUGGAUUAUAUUAAUGUGUUGUACUCUCAUACUAGAAGUUAAGUUUCGCAAAAACAAAAAUACUAGAGGCUAAGCUAUUAAUUAAAUUUGAGUAAAUUAUUAUUUUUCUAAUCUUGAAAUUGUAAGUUUUGACCAUUUUAUUUUUGUAAUCUUGUAAGCUUUUUGACCAUUGAUGUUUAUAAACAUCAAAACAGGGACAUGAUAAUGGACAAAUAAUAAAAAUUGAGUCCUAAUAAAUAUUAAUUAUUUUUUAAGUUUUUUUAGAGAGAAGAAAGUCAAUGUGUAACACUCUAAGGGAAGAACGGUGAUUAUGGUGGUCAUCAGAGGUGGCGGCAAUGGUGCGAUGAUCGGUGUGUGGAAGGUAAAGGUUGCGGCAAUGGUGCGAUGAUCGGUGUGUGGAAGGUAAAGGUUCGACAGUGAAGAGUUAAAAAAAAUAUAUGUAAAAAUAUGAAAAAUUUAUUGAGAAAUGAGAUAUGAAUUUUAUAUAAGUAUCGAUAUAAUCUAAUCAAAUUUUUAAAGUGUUCUAAAAAAAUAAUAGUUGUUGAAGAUUCACUUCCACAAUAGUGAAUUAUAUUUAUUUAUAAAAAAUUAAUAAUAAAUGAUACGAUUGUACGAUGAAUUUUUAAAUAUUUAAUUAUAAAUAAUAUUAAAAUUUAUAUAAAAAAUAAAUUUUAAAAAUUAUAAAAAAUAAUUAUACAAAACAAAACUUAACUGGAUGGUUCAUUAUCAAUUUUAAAACAAUAUAUCAAAAUUGGAGAUAUAAAAUAAAAUUAAUAUAUUAAAUUUUAUGAAAUUAUAAAAUAAAAAUAUAACUCGUUAAGAUGAAAGUCCAUUAUAAAUCUUGAGGGCUUAUUGUUUCAAAAAGUUAUUUAAAAAAAUUAUUUGUAAUUAAAGAUAUAAAAUAAGGAAAAAGUUAAAGUGUACAAAAUAAAAUCCUCAAUCACACAAAUAACUUUGCCAAUUAAAUUAUGAAGCACACAUGAAUAUGAUGAUACACUUUUCAUUCUUUUUUAAGAUCAUUGAAUUUAAAAAAAUUAACUACUAAUAUAAAAGACAUAAAUUUAUAAAUAUUUUUUAUAUUAAUAAUAUUAAAAACUAAAAAAUAACAAUAAAUAUUUCGAUAGAGCCUCAAAAUUUUAAGACAUGAAUGUAAGAGCCUUAAGAUAUAUAACCCAUAACAUGGUGUAUAAUUCUCUAAAAAAAUAAGCCAACUUAAAUGAAAAGUGUUAUAUACAAUUUGACGGACCAGAAAUGAAGUAUAAAGAAAGUGUUGCAUAGGAAAAACGCAACAAUAAGAAAAGGAGAAAAGAGGAAGAUCAUAAAAAGUUUGAUGCAUUCGUAGAUGAAAAUUAACACAACAAUGUGUUGAUAUAAAAGAUAUCGUGAAACUCCCAUUCCAUAUGUGCCAUGUUUAAUCACAUGUGUGGUCAAGGAAGAAUAAUUGAAGUGUUAUAGAGAUAACCAUUUUUAAAAUACGUGGAACAAGGAUGCAUGAGGCAUACAGGUAGAAGAGUGUUAAAUAAAACAACUACAUAAGGGCUGAAAUCGAGUUGCAAUAAAAAACACACUUGAGUAUAAUACAUAUAUUAUGUCUUCUGAAUUAGUCAUAGUCAAACACAUUUAAAGUAUACUACAGAUGCAAAACAUAAAAAGACAUUGUUUGCAAAAUACUACAUGCCAAUAUAGUGAACGAAAUAUAUAGAAUCAAAUAAUUCUUCUUCUCCAAUUUGAUACUCUUCUUAAGUUUUGUUGGGAAGAGUUCUCCAUCACACAGGCCGAUCAAGGUAGUAGAUUCACUUGAAUCAUCCAGUAUUUGACUCUUUGCAGUGGAUGUGAUUGGUUCUGUGUUAUGCUUAGAUGUAAUUUCCAGAUCCUGUCAUUGGAAAAUUGAGAAAAAUAAUCAAUAACCGUGUAACAAUAGAUUAAUAAGCAAAAAUAAAAAAUAAAAAAUAGUGUGUCAUCAUAAUUUAGAAGGAUAUCGUAACAAUUUCCCGUUCAUCGGUGGCUUCAGAUUUUGCCUCAUCAACACUCUAUUUAAUCUUAAUAACAUAAAAGGAAAUUGAGAAACAUGAAAAUGGAUAAAAUCAAUCAGGACAUAAAACAAAGACAAGAGGUGACAAUGCCUGCAACAAGUGUGUUGUUAUAGGUGGUUGAGAUGUUGUUACCUUAGUGUCAAAACCAGAUAAGGACCAACAGAAGGUUGACGAAACAAAUUCACCCAUUAAUGUUAGGUUGUAGAAGAAAUACAUGUAUUUGUUCCCAUGGAGCCUUUAGUUGUUUGAUGAACGUGUCAUCCCUUACAAUCAUGACAAUAGAGCAACUUUUUCACUGGGGGUGCCACUUAACUUUAAAAGCAAUCUCCAAACCCAAAAAAACAUCUAGUGCUAAUGGGAAUUCUAAUGGAUCAUCAAUUCCAUCCUACAUAAGCAAGUAGCAGUAUUAGAAACCAGCAAAGUAGGUUACGAUUUUUUUAAGUAUUCAAAUUGCAAGUCAGGAAUAAACCUCAAUCAUUGUAUCACGCUUCUGAAUAGCUGAUACACCCAAAAAUUGUGAGCAUUCUUUGUCCCAGAAUACAAACUUACAACAUUUUCCAGCAUGAUAAACUUCAAUUUUUAUUUUAUACCUAAGCUAGCGUGAGCAAUCGUGUUAAGAGACGGUUUUGCACCAAUAUAAGAAUAAAAAUAUAUAUCAUAUUAGAAGUUAUGCUACCUAAACAUUUCUGACUCUGUGAAAUGUCCAGUUUCACACAAGAAAGGAGUUAUGUCACCGCGAGCAGCCUUGGGGCACUGAUGGCAAGCCUGAUAAUACCAACCAAACUGAGAUGCAAUGAGUUUUUUAGUCGUAGCUACGGUAGCAUAUAAUGUAAUAUGCUUAAGAGUUAACAACAUAAUAUGUGAAUGUUCAUAAUAAAUAGAUACAUAUUCAAAUUGUUUAAGCCACAAUGAUUAUUGCAUACCUCAUGAAUUUUAAUAAUCUCAUUAAGUGGUAAUACAAUAGCCUCUGAAAGUAACUUUUGAAUUGGGAUUUGGUAGAAUUUUCGGAUUUUUGUGAAUAGAGUCGAGAAUGAGAGCUUAGUUGGCCUAAAACGUUAACCAAGGAGUCCUUAGGGAUGCUGGGAAAAAAUGUCACAAAAUAAGCUUAAUAAUUUCAUGGAAUUGUCAAGAGUAAUGUUAGAAAAUACUUUUCGUCGAAGAAACCUUUCAAUAAACUAGUUAAUUGAAGGCAAAUCAGCAUUGAUGUAUAAUUUGGUUAUGGUGUACGUGUUUGUAACAGAAAAUGGAUAUUUUCCUAUAUUAUAAAAGACAUAGUUCAGCUUAAGUAUAUAACAGAUUAAAAACAGUUUAGGACAAAAGUUAAUAGCAACAGAAAUUGGUCAACCUUCUUCCUUUAGUUUCGCAUACUGAAGCAAAAUGAAAGUUGACCCAGAAGUAUUGAGUCGGUCUUGGUUGAAUUUGAUGAAUUGGGAGGCAAUUGAUUAUGUUGUUGUUGGAAUUAGUGUCAGAAUGUACAUUACAUUGCAACAAAACAAGACGUAUAUCUUAUGUUAGAUUUGUGUGAUAUAUGGAGAGAAGUAACAUACGCAUGGUUUCUCAGUAUAAAAUUGACUUGUUGUUUUUACCCCUGAUUAGGUCUGUGUGAAACCUAUACUAUCAACCAUUUCUAUUAUGUUUGAAAUAACAAAUAGUAGUAAAUAAAUGGUAUAACUCAAAAAAGUCUAAUGUCUAAGUGUAUAAACAAAAUUUCAGACCGAUGAGUAAACCCUUCUUAAAUCAUUUUGUCAUUAUAUAAGCAAAACUGGUAAACUGGUAAACUUGUUAGAUUUAGCUAGAAUGACAUGUUUGUUAACAUCAUUAACGGGUGUCCCUUUAGUGAACUUUACCAUAUAGUUGUGGCUUGAAGGUUUGAAGACCAAAUCAUUUGCCUGAACCUUGAAGUUUGACACAGUGUAAGUGUGGUUUACCGUUAACUUGUCAUUGAACACCAGAAUAAACGUUGUUGGCGCAAUGACGUGUAUAUCAUUCCCCCGAGAAAUAAAGGAAAGUAAAAAGCCCAUGAAAAUCCAAAAUUUUAACAUCAGAUAGACAUUAAACUACAAACCAGUGAACAAAAAGGCAUUAAAAAUCUAAACUUUAAAAAUUGAGACCUACAAAUCAGUCAACAAAUGUGGUGUUAUUGACCGACACAUUUGACACCUUUCAAAAAAGCACAUGAUAUGUUUUAUAAGAACUCUAAAAGUACCAGAUAAAAAAUGGACAAUAAACAUGCAUUACGAAAUAAAAACGUAAUCAUUGUUACCCUAAAAUAGGAUAUUUCUUCAGUAAAGAUAACAAAAUUUACAAAAGACAUCAAAAGUGAAAUAUAAAUAAAUCGUAUCAGAAAAAAAAUGAAGCAUAUUGAUUAAGCAAACUUACAUCUUUGUCUAUUACAAUCAUUUACCGUUUAUGGUGUACCAUAAGAGCCACCUUCCAUAGUUCUUUGGUUUCGUUGAUGUCACAAAUCUUCUCAUAAGGCCUGGCCAUGUAGAAAAUACGAACGAAAUGUUGUUGCAGGGAGGAGAAGAUGGACGACUGCGGUGUUAUGGUGGAAGAACAACCUAAGCGGUCAACCCUAAUGUCCAAAGCAAGGUGAAAAAUAUUGUUCUGGACUACUCACCACAUGUGACCUGAGUAGACAUGUGUGAUUGGAAAGAAGAAAGAAGUGUCGUUUGAAAACGAAAAAUCAGAACAAAUAGUGAUGUGAUGCAUGUAUUGGUUCAGCCUUGGAAUGAGAAAAGCAUAUAAACAAUUGAAAGAAACAUUUCGCAUGCGUGGCAAAGAAAAGAAGGGAAGUUGAUUGAAGACAGCCAUGUGGCAGCGUAUAAAAGUAGAAGGGUGUAGUUGUAAUUUCCAGAACAUAAUUUGUUCUUAUAUUAUAGAUAAAUUAAAGUGUUUUUAGACCAAAUAAGCUUAAAAUAGUUGUUGGAGCAAAGGAUAUCUACCUCUGACCAUAAAUGGUUGCUUACUAAUUUGUUAGGACAUUAUUUUGAAAUGAUUUACCAACAUGGCUUCCAAAUAAAAUUGUUUCUUUAUCCGGUGUAACAAAGAAUUGGAGUUGCACACCUUUUAAAGUUUUUAGAGACUCCAUGUAGAUUAACUACAGUUCAUACUCGAAUAAGUUUUCUGAAUACUUAUUUAUGUAAUUUUGAAGAAAGAUAUGAAUGACUACAUGCAGACAAAAAGAAUUGAUAAAUAUAGGAACAUAUAUACAAGCCUCACCUCGCUUCCUAGUUCCCACAGUAAAGCAAUACACUAUACUACAACAAAAGGAGUAAGGACCUAAAGGAAUUAUAAGAUAUGCAUAAGAACAAAUAAAUUUGACAAGCUUAGUUGCACCACUGCACGAUCAAGUACAAACCAAUCAUCUAGGCAUUGAUUUUUCCGCAGGUUCUAUAUGCUUUCGAGGAUAUGGAACUUUGAUGGAAACAUCUGCUUGAGAAGGCACAGAAUCUUUGUCCCUAAUUGUACGUAGCUCCUGUUAAUCAAGUUAAAGUUGGUCAUUCAUCGAAAUUGAAGUAACAUUUAAACAAAGCUUCACAGAAAGAGUGGUUGAAGCAUAUAGCUUACAGAACGAAAGGGGAAAUCAUCUGACUCAAGCAUAUGAACAAUUUGACCCAUCUUCGGUCGCUUGAUGACAUCCAAGUCAAUGCAGCGUAGGCAGAUCAGUAAAACUCGCUUCAGAGAUCUUGGAGAAGGUGGAAUCUCAACUCGAGGAUCCACUAGCUCGUCACUGCGACGACUUGCUACCAUUGCCUUAAACCAAUCUACCAAAUUCAUCUGAAAUGCAUCAAACAAAUGCAAAUGUAAGACUCAAAUGUGUUACGAAUUGCAGAAAUAAAAAAUCUGGACAAAACCUGAAAUCACCUCUCCGGGUGGUUUUGAAUAAUCAAUAGGGCUUCUUCCCGUGAUUAUUUCCAUGAGUAGAACUCCAAAACUAUAAACAUCGCUACGCUCGUUAAGCAUACCUGUGCUUGCAUACUCAGGGGAAACAUACCUGUAGAAAUUUAGUGUUAAUUAAGUGUUACUAUCAUUCGCUUCUAUAUAAGGAACCUUGAGAGAGAACGGAUUAAUUACCCAAAUGUUCCCAUUACACGCGUUGUUACAUGAGUUUUCUCAGAUCCUAAGAGCUUGGCAAGUCCAAAAUCCGAAACUUUGGCAUUCCAGUUUUUGUCCAAAAGGAUGUUACUGGAUUUUAUAUCUCUGUGCACAACUUUGGGUUCUAAGCCUUCAUGCAAAUAGGUUAACCUGUUUCAUAAUGUAUAAAUGUUAAAAUUUCCAUAAAAGAAUACUAUGAUGAAACCAAUGAUGAUCCUUAACAUUGACAUUAAAAUUGAAUAAACAUGAAACACACCCUUUUGCAGUCCCAAUGGCAAUCUUGAUUCGAAUCUCCCACGUCAACGGACUAACCGGUCCUACAUUACCAUGCAGCCAAUGCUCCAAAUUUCCAUUCUCAACAUAUUCAUAAACAAGCAUCCUGAAUUAUCAGUAAAAAAAUGCCAACAAAAUAGUUUAAAAGAAUUCCAAAUUUUCACAUUCUAGUCAAAAGAUUAACAACAAUGUAACCAUAAUAGAGUACCUUCUAGCACCUUCUGCAGAAUAUCCUACUAAACGAACUAAAUUCUUAUGCCUUACUUUGCCAAUGGCUUCAACCUCCACUUUAAACUCCUUCUCAGCUUCACCCCUAAAGUUACAUUACAAUAACACUCAUGAAACACAAACACCAGAAACACGACACGGACAUCAUGCCAUACUGACUUAAACAAGUAAAAUGAAUUGUAAUUAACAUACUUGUUGUUGUGAAGAUUCUUAACUGCAACAACAGAACCAUCUUGCAAAACACCUCUAUAAACAACUCCAUACCCUCCUUCACCAAUCACAUUCCCUUCCGCAAAUCCGCGUGUCGCAAUUUCCACUUCCUUCAAACUAUACCACCGACCCCACCCUAUGUUUGGAUCCUCCUGCAUGUAGGUCCCACACGACACGUCACUUUUCCUAACCACUCCAAUUUCAACCUUCAUCUCUGCCUCCUUCUUCACACCAUCAUCAUCAUCUUCAAUAAUCUCAAUCCGCGUCUGUUUUUCAGUGGAGCGCGUGAGGUCAAUCUCCCUAACCACCGCGAUCUCCUUUGAAACUAAAGGAGUGGUGCCGGAGCUGUGUAGCUUCGGUAACAUCUUCCGUUUCUUGCAGCUUCGGCUACCGCGAAAGCAUAAGAAUAUGAGAAGCACGAUAAUUAUUAAGAUGAUGAGAAAAAUUCCUGCUAAAAUGAGUACCUUCAAACUCAUGAGAGGAGUAGCGGAAUCCGACAUGGUUGUUUGGAGUUAACGUUUGUGUUUUGGAAAAUUAGUUAUAGGCAUCGAAAAGGUAAGCGUAAAAGAGAGUGGUGUUUUAACGGAUACAAUAUAAAAGUGAGACAGAAAAAUAACGAAAGUGAUUACAAAAGAAAGAGACCAGAUCGGUUGUUGGUUUUGGACUUUGGAGUGGGACCGUGAGAAUAUUACGAGAUUGCCACUCUCACUCGCUUACUAUGUGAGUGUUGUGUGGUAACGUUGAUGCAUUGGUGUGGAGUGAUGAGAAUGUGGUUGUGGAGGAGAAUGUGUGAGGGUGUGCGAUGUUGGGUGAUUAGGAGGUGUAUUAUUGCAUGGUUUAUUAUGGUCCAACUUGGAAUUGAUUAAUGCAUCUCAUUAUUACUAGCUAUUAAGCUUUUUCUUUUGUUUUGUUGUUGAGUAUAAAGUUAUUGCGCGUUUCUGAAAGGAACAGUUUUUGAAUUUGGAAAAUUCUUUGCUAGUAGUAUAUGAAGGUUGGUGGGAUACCUAUAGACUGCCCUAUAAUCAGGAUUGUGUUGAUUACAUCUGUGGGCUCGGUUGAUGUUAAUUCACUCUCUCAAAAAUUGUUGAUGUCUGUAAAUAUUAUAACUAUGAAGUGAAUUUUGUGACUUUUUUUAUAUUACUAAUAAAUUAUUUUCACAAACAUCUAUAUUUGUGAGCCGUAUAAUAUUUUCCACUAAAAAUAUGCAUAUCAAUUAAAUUAUAUUUUUAAGAUAAUAUAUUACUUAUAUAUAUAAAAUAUUUUUAAUAUAGAUAUAUAUAUAUAUAUAUAUAUUAUAUAUAUAUAUAUAUAUUAUAUAUAUAUAUAUAUAGUAUAAUAUUUUUUAUUUUGGAGAUGAAAUGAUAAUAAUUAUCAAAAAAUACACAACUACAAAAUCUCAUGUUCAAAUCCAGGUAUUAGUAUUUAUUAUUUAUCAAUUUAACCAAAUUUUAUUAGUGACAUUGUUUAUAACAAUUUUUUUGAUAAAAUAAAUAUUAUAGUUUAUAAUAAUAUAAAAUUUUAAAAAUAGACAAAUCUAUUGAUAUAACAAUGUGGUUUUAAGAGUUUAUAAUUAGUAGUCGUCUUCUCUUAAAAAUAUAUUUAACUAUGUUCUAAAUCAAUAGAUUCUAUAUAUUGUGGGUUGAAUUUUAAUUUUGGAGAAUUCAAUAUAUAGGGGUAGAAAAAACAAGCAUAUGUGAAUAUUAUAUAUUAAUAUAUGUGUAUACACUGGGGGCUUAUGUCCACAUGGUGUAAGGAAUAAUUUUGUCUGUUAUUUUGAUUUUUAUGGUGUUUGGGUGUGAAAAUGGUGGUGUGUAUAAAGAAGGAAAUCUGAAUGUUCAUUCAAAUUGUACGGCUAUUAAUUGGUUUCAAAUGUUUGAAAAUUUAUUAUGCUUUCGGGUGUACACAUUCAUGACUUCAGAUUAUAAAUUAGAAACCCAUCCUAUUGUCAUCCUAUAAAAAUAAACAAAGCAAUUAUAGAAUAUAAAAAUCAAAAGAAAUAAAAAAAGCAUAUGAUACACAUCGAUCUAUUUAGGCCAAUUUGAAGGAUUCCAUAUCGGUUGUUGAGUGAAAAUUUUGUUCUUCAAGGGACACGUGUUGGAUCAGAUGUCUGGGACAACAAGAACUACCAGUUUAUGACAAAUAACAACUUCUGGGGACAAAUGUCAUACAUGAUAUUUGAGACAUUGUUAACCAAAAACACUAAACCCGUUUGUAGGGAAGUUUUGACAGUUUAAUUUUUACAAGAUGAUGAAGCAGAAAAGCAAUAAAAAAUAUAAGAGAUUGGUAACCUAGUUCGGCGAAACCACACUUACGUCAAUGGGGGCACUCUUUCCAAAAAAGGAAAUCUACUGCUUAGAAUUAGUACCUUUUGUCUUACAAGAACCAACAAACUCUAUGUUGUUCAAAGUCUCUUCUUAAUCAUAGUGUCUUUCUAUUUAAGAAUUUUUCCUAAAUAUGAGAAUCUACUUACGUUCUUAUCAAUCACACAACCCAUGAUUGGCAUUUACAAACCACUAAACAAUGUUGAAUGUUACAACUCAACUAAGACAAACCUUUUAUAUCAAGUUAUUGAAACACAGAGGUGUACAUAAAUAUUCAACACAAAAUAAUCUUUAGCGUGAAAUACAAGAAACACUUUGUUCACAAGCUCAUAGACUUAGUGUCUUGGAACAAGGUUUUGAACUCAAUAAAACCAAACUAUAUUCCUUAUGAUAUGAACGGAUGCGCUAGAGUGGUGCACAUACAAAGACUCAAAAGAUAAAUUGUAACACUAGGUAUCUUCAAAUCUUGCUUGUCUUGCAUCCCUCAAAAGUGAGGUUUGAGUCUCCUUAAAUAACAAUGCAAUCCUGGGUUUUCUUCUUGAAUUUCUGAAUUAGUUUCGUCCAGAAUAAUAGCAUAAUCUUAUUGGAUUUGAUUUGCUCCAUAAAGUUCUCCAAUAAAAGAUAUGAUUUAUUAUUAAUUCAAAUUUAAAUCUUCAUUUAAAUUGAUUUGAUCUUCAACAACUGUUAAAUAAAUCACACAAGCCCAUUGCAUUAAAAUAUCAACAAAUUUGGUCAAAUAUACACCAGAGUUUUGCUCCAAAAAUGCAACAAUAUUAGUCUGCUAAACCAGGGCCAUAUGUUGGAGUGCAUAUGUUGGAACAUCGGGUUCCACAUGUUUCAACAAUACAUCAAAAUUCAUUCAUCUCCAUAACUUGAAGAUCUUCUGAUGAAGUGUGAAUCUUGCAUAGAAAAUAACCUGCAAUAUUAUCUGUCUGUUGUAGCUAACAAUAACAUAUGUCUUGUUGAUAGAGACCAGAUAUCAUACCACACAUGUUGGAACAUUUUGUUUCACAUGUUACACCCGAGCAUCCAAAACAAUUCUUCUUCAUAUAAGUCUUCUUUAUAGAGUAGUUCUUGGACUAAAUCUUUCUUCAGGAUACAUUCAAUCAAAUCUUCUUUGAAUGAAACAAAUCUAAAUCUUUUCCAAUUAAUUUUGGAUUAUCAACAUAAACUUCUUCCCAAAAGCAAAACUCUAGAUCAUCUGAAGAAGUCAACACCUCAACACUUCUGAAGGACAUUAUAAGACAACCAGAACCGAAACCUUAAUCAUAUUGCUUAAAUAGUUAUGUCAAGCACUUUACCCACCUUAAGUCUAUUACUUAAAUAGUUAUGUCAAGCACUUUAUCCAAACAAAUCUUUGUUUAACUAGUUAUGUCCAACACUUUAACCAAACAAAUCUUUUCUUAACUAGUUAUGUCAAGCAUUUUAGCCAACAACUCUUCUUGAUAACAAAAUCAAAUGUUGGAACACAUGUUAGAACAUAUUGUUCCACAUGUUGAAUAAAAACAUCUUAUACAUAUGUUGUUUUUCCAUAUAUAGUCAAUCCAAAAGAAAAAACAAUAUCCCCAUUUGGAAUUUUUUGGCUAAAACAACUACAAGUUCUGUUCUUUAUGAAGUAGUCAAGUAGCACAUCAUAUUGUAGCAACGCGAAAAACAACCGGCGGAAAAAAACACAGAGCCGCCACCGUGCGUUAUUUAUCCCAAAGGAGGGAAAGGAAACGCUCGAAGUAAACCUGAAAAAGGGAAAGGAAUGGUCUUACGACCAGAGAAAAACAACCGGCGGAAAAAAACACAGAGCCGCCACCGUGCGUUAUUUAUCCCAAAGGAGGGAAAGGAAACGCUCGAAGUAAACCUGAAAAAGGGAAAGGAAUGGUCUUACGACCAGAGAUUGCAAGGCACGGGAGUCGGUUAUGCAAGGGGAAGAUAUUAGCACCCCUCACGUCCUUCGUACUCGACGGGAUCCACGCUCAAAAGAAUAGGAAAAGGUUGCUAAAUAACUGCUCAAAGAAUGCACACACACUGGAAUAAAACACAGGUGGAUGAAAAACGGAGGAAGAGGACUCGACAGGAUGUCGCAUCCUGGGCCUACGUAGUUUGUCAGAAACAAACAUCAGAGUCAACGUAGUUCGGGGAAAAUGGAGGCAUGCUCGCUAGGACAUCGCGUCCUAUGCCUACGUAUCUCAUCUGGAAUGAGAAUCAGAGUUGUCGUAGUUCGGCUAACGCACGCCGAAACAAAACACUGAAAGGAGACGCUGAGACGUCAAAAGAAACACACAAACGGAAACAGACUGCCAAUAGCUGGUCUUACAUCCGACUCCAAACAACAAACACAAACAAGGAAACAGAAGGCCAAUCGAUGGUCUUACAUCCAGCCCAAACAAGCAACAAUCGCUAAAACCAGCAAACACCAAAGAAGAAAGUUAUCGGAUUGACUAACUAAAAGGGAGUCUGGAACUCGAGCCUAAUAUUGUCACGCAAACACGCAAAAAGACGCUGAAACGUCAAAAGAAACAAAAGUUGAACACACAGACUAAAAGGGAGUCGGGAACUCGGACCUAAUAGCUGUCAAGCAAACACACCACAAGAAAAGAAAAGGGUUGCCCGGAGAGAUCUCGCACGAUCUCCUGCCUACGUACCUCACUGGUAUGAGGAUCAGGGCGACGUAGUUCCCCUAACAGGGGAGAACUCUCUCCUAACCAGAGACCAGGGAAUAACAAACUAAAAGGGAGACUGACCGAGCCUAAUAGUUGUCAUGCAAUCCACAAUAGCCUCACUGUGAGUAUCUAAACAGAACCUAACUCGCAAGAGCAGCAAGUCAAACAACAGCAAAUCAACAUGUAUGAAAAGCAAACACACAAGCAAUCAUCACAACUUUAUAGAUACAAACAAGAGCUCAGACAAAAGUUGGGCUUUAGUCAAGGGGUCAUAUCAACCUGACAAACAAGCCAAAACUGUAUGGGUGUCAUGAAGCUCUUAACCACUUACAUUGACCGUCAGGGUGAGCAGAGAAGUAAUGAGUAUGAGACCUCAUGGCUCUUAACCCUGCCCGGUGAGCUUGAAUCAAUGAAAGCGUGGGGGUCCAGAUGAGGGACCCUAUCCACUUGACCGACUCUAUACAAGGAUCUUGGGUUAGGUUCAAGAGCUGCAGCAACGUAGUGCGAGCAUAAUGAACGACUCAACGACUAACAGGGACUGGCUACUAGUCCCUUCUAUCUGUCAAUGCCUCUUCACUUAGGAGGACAAACAAGUAACAUGCCUCGACAAGGAGGUCUUUGGCACAAAAGAAAUAAACACAGUCAUUGCCUCUUAAGGAGGACUUCAGCCAAACGCCUGCCAAAAAAACGACAGGGCUUCCAGACUACAUGGAGUUAAGAAGGCUAAACUACCUCAGUGGUGUACCGACCACACUCCAAAGCAAAGCAAAAGCUAGCUAGCAAGCGGCUAUAUGUAACCGUGACAAAAGUCAAACAAGUCAAUAUUGUAUUCAGACAAACCAAACAACAAUCACAGUGGUUCUCUUCCAAUAUGUACACAAUACAAUUCCUAUGGUAAACAAAUCAAGUGAGUUCAUCACCAAGGGACUACAACACAUAAAAGGAGGGACAAAGUAAUUUGCAUCUCAAGUAAUGAGAUCACAUCAACCACUAGAGCUAGAUGCUUGAACCUGAAAUACAAAGCUCAAAAGGUGAGUACAAACCACUAGUACCAAGACUAGGGUCAAAGGCAAAGCAAACAACAAAAACAGAAGUCAAUACUUCACAUGAAGCACAUUUAAUCAAGCAAGAACAUGUCCUAAAAAGGAUCAAAGCCAAAUCAUAAGGCAAAGCCAACAAUUAAUCAAGCUAAGGCAAAGGCAAUCAAUGUGAUCAAAAUUGCUCAUCAAGCAUAGAAAAUCCAUAUUAAAUCAGAAGUGUAUCCAAUGAUCAUGAGAAUUUUUAUGUGAACACAACAUGUUAUGGACAAACAUCAUGCCAAAAUUUAAGUCCAGAAGACAAUAAAUGGUGUGUGAAUGAAAAUGCACAAGUACAAGGUCAAGAAUGUGACACCAAAUGUUACAACAUAUGUCCAUGUGUCCAAAACAGUGGUAUUAAAUGAUAAAAAAAUGUCAAACAAAAGCCAAAAGAUCAUGUCACAUGUUAUGAAUAAGCAUGUCAAAUUUCAAGGAAAUUAGACAAACUAUGAGCAUGUCAUUAUAGCAUCAUGUUCAAACACAAAAUCACAAUUAAAAUUCCAGCAUCAAACAAUUCAUGUAAUUAAUGCUAAAAAAUAAUAGAGAUUGAAACGAGAAUGUGAAAAAAAGUUGCACUCAAUUUGGAUCAUUCUACCAUUAUUUAUGAUUUUUGGAAAUUGAUGAAAUAAUAUGGAUCAUGCAUGAACAUGGAGGGAAAUAUUGAAUUCAAAAAAAAGAAAUAGCAAAAUGCCUCAACCAGUAUCGAACACAGGUCAAACAGGUAACACACAAAGCGCUUCACAAAAUAAAUCAACCAAAACAACACCAGGAGGAUUCGAACUCAGGUAUGGCAGGUUGUCAAAAGCUCAAAAAUAAAAUCCACAAACACACAUUGCCAGAAUCGAACUCAUGAAGCAAAGGUAACAAAAGCGCUAGAAAAAAUAAUAGUGUUUUACGCGAUCGGUUCUUAGCUCGCGUCGUUCACAAGGUAACAAGGGCGCUCCUCAAAACAAUUGGAAUUUAGAAAUGCAAGCGCAAGGAAUCGAACCUAUGCGCUUGAGGUUACAAUAAGUGCUUCAAAAAUAAAUAAAUCCAAAGCAAGGCGCGCCAGGAUCGAACGCAGGACUGGCUGGUUCAUAGCGCGUUCCAAAAACGCAGCGUUUUGCUGCAUGGAACCCUAGCCAAUACCAGGCGGUGGCGGACGGCUGAAACAACCGUCUUCUCCGGCCAGCCAGGCGGAGCGCCACCGUCAAAUUUUGCAGAAUUUGGCAAACCAUAUAUCGUUCGAACCGUCCUUUCACGUACAUCUCAAAUCUAACAAUCACUAAGCCUAAAACCUAACGAAUCAAGUGGAUCGAACAGAAACAUUAUGAACAACAAAACUUUAAUUCAUCAUAACUUGAUCAAUACUUAACCAAAAUUAAAUCUAAGCAUAUCAGAAUGAUCAGUGAAGGAAGCUCUACAUGUUUAUGUUCAUGGAUUGGAAAAAAGUGAGGUUCGAAUUUCCACUUACUUGGAAUGGCAGUGAUGGAAUCCACAUGUUCAAGGCUCCAAAAGCUCCAAUUCUUCUCCUAUGAUCUCCUUGUGAAGCUUUGUGCACAAAUGAAUAGCUGAAACCUUCUGAAUUCGCCUUAAUUCCAAACUUCCAUUAACAUGUGAGUGCUUGAAUCUACACGAAAUCUUGCUCAAAUGCCACGAAAAAUGGAUGAAUCAUGCUCCAAAUUCCAUGAGGAUGAAGGAUCUAUGAAGAAAUCUUGUGGUUGUGUGAAGAAAAUUUGAAAUCCAAGGAGAGAGAGUUUUGGAGGGAAAAUGGAUUCUAGAUCUAGAAUUGUGAUUAUGGCAAAUUCUGUUAGGAUUUAGCUUAUAUACUCUGUGUUAAUCACCAUGCUAAUCCCAAUUAGGCUUGGCUAAUGAAAAACUAAGGAAAUAUGAGGUGCAUGACAAAAUUGGUAAAUACACCUAUGCAUGGCAAAAGUGCACGUGAACAGUGCCAUGCAAGGUCCAUUUUCACUUAAAAUCAGCUCAUGAACAUGAUUGGAUUGGUAUUUGGCUCAUGUGAUCAACCAAAUUUGAAUUAUGCAUUUUCCCUCCAAAAUGUACUUGAAUGAGCAAGUGGUCAUGUGAACUAUUUUCAUGCAAUGCAAUGAUGGAUUUGGAAUCUCUUGGUCACAAGAAGCAUUUUGCAAAAAGAGUAGUUCAAUUUGGAGUUUUGGAUCAAAAGUUAUGGCAUGUUGAACUUCCAUGUACACUUGGCAAUCAUUGGACCAUAAUUUCUCAACCAUUCAUCAGAUGAUCAUGAUCUUGGACUUUUUGGAAAUGGGAGAGAAAGAUCUUCAAUUUUCAUGUUUACCAAAAAUUCAUUUGAAGCUUAUUUGAUGUUGGAAAGUCAAGUUGAAUGUGAACCAAAAACUUGCCAUUUUUGGAAACUUGAAAUUAUAGGUCACUUUCCAUUUUUGGAAACUUUUGAUUUGACUUCAAAAUCUUCAAGAUAGAUGUUUGAAAUGACAAAUGAGCCUCUUUUGAACAUGAUUGAAGUGUUGAAACUCAUUUCCCCACCUCAAAGCCCUCAGCUCUUGCACAGUUGACUGCAUAGGUCCUCAGAUGACCUUGACAUGCUCUGAUCAGCUUGAACCUCCACCAUUUGAUAAAAUGGCUCAGAGAUGAAACCCUAGCUCAUGUAAGCUCCUUAGAAUGAUNACCAUGCUAAUCCCAAUUAGGCUUGGCUAAUGAAAAACUAAGGAAAUAUGAGGUGCAUGACAAAAUUGGUAAAUACACCUAUGCAUGGCAAAAGUGCACGUGAACAGUGCCAUGCAAGGUCCAUUUUCACUUAAAAUCAGCUCAUGAACAUGAUUGGAUUGGUAUUUGGCUCAUGUGAUCAACCAAAUUUGAAUUAUGCAUUUUCCCUCCAAAAUGUACUUGAAUGAGCAAGUGGUCAUGUGAACUAUUUUCAUGCAAUGCAAUGAUGGAUUUGGAAUCUCUUGGUCACAAGAAGCAUUUUGCAAAAAGAGUAGUUCAAUUUGGAGUUUUGGAUCAAAAGUUAUGGCAUGUUGAACUUCCAUGUACACUUGGCAAUCAUUGGACCAUAAUUUCUCAACCAUUCAUCAGAUGAUCAUGAUCUUGGACUUUUUGGAAAUGGGAGAGAAAGAUCUUCAAUUUUCAUGUUUACCAAAAAUUCAUUUGAAGCUUAUUUGAUGUUGGAAAGUCAAGUUGAAUGUGAACCAAAAACUUGCCAUUUUUGGAAACUUGAAAUUAUAGGUCACUUUCCAUUUUUGGAAACUUUGGAUUUGACUUUAAAAUCUUCAAGAUAGAUGUUUGAAAUGACAAAUGAGCCUCUUUUGAACAUGAUUGAAGUGUUGAAACUCAUUUCCCCACCUCAAAGCCCUCAGCUCUUGCACAGUUGACUGCAUAGGUCCUCAAAUGACCUUGACAUGCUCUGAUCACCUUGAACCUCCACCAUUUGAUAAAAUGGCUCAGAGAUGAAACCCUAGCUCAUGUAAGCUCCUUAGAAUGAUUAUGUGAUCUUCAUCUCAAUAAAAUACCUCAUCUCCUUGAUAAACUCUGGCUGAAAGAAUGGCACUGAUUUGGGUUGACCAGAGGUCAAAACCCUAAUCCAGAGGAACCUGAGCAUGAACAAUGAAGCCCUAAACUCUGGCUGAAAGAAUGGCACUGAUUUGGGUUGACCAGAGGUCAAAACCCUAAUCCAGAGGAACCUGAGCAUGAACAAUGAAGCCCUGUAUGAUGACAUAACCAUGAUGAUGGUGACAUAUCCUUUCACACAAGAUAAUACUCCACCUUUGAAGGAUCAGGAAACCCUUAUUGAAGUGCACACCCUCAGAUGGUUGAUCACUAAUUCAUUAAGACCCUCAGGCUUGAACCAUGUACCUUCUCCAUCUCUGAAAAGACUUUGGAGGAUGAUCUUUUAUUUCCAUAUGAUAUGCAAUAUGAAAAUGCCUAAUGUCCUAAAAUAUUAAAUGCAAUAUGUCAAACUAGUCCCAAGAAGAGGAGGGCAAAUUUUGAGGUGUUACAGUUGCCCCUAUUCAAUCCACUGUGAACCUGUCGAUAUGAACAGCCUCGGCUUUCAGAUGAUCAGGGUGAAGAGUGAUUGAAUACAAAGAACAGACGAACAAUUUGCGCUCCGCUAGGAAAUAAUUAACAAUGUCUGUCAGAAUCGACAAAGAGGUAGUCUUGAAAGAAUCCGUCUGGUACGGUGCAAGUCGGCCUGAGUACCGAAAAGAAUGUUAACCUGGAUACCAAAAUAAAUGGUAACACAGGAAUAACCCGGGCCUGAAUGCCGCAUCCGCUGGGGAUCAUUAUUAUUAUUUUUUUUGCUUUUCUCGAACCCCCAAAGCUUCGUUGACUUCUCUUUUUUCUGCUUUUCUUGAACCCCAUAACUAAUAUUUUCUCUUCCGCGCGGGUGAUCCCUGAUCACCGCAUUUGAACCCCGACAACUUCAUGUCAAACUGGCUGCCAAACAAUGAACCCCGUUCUCCAUUUGAACCCCAGUCGCCCGACGAUAACUCGCGAUCGCCGUUGUGAACCCCGUUCUCCAAAAAACACCCUGUGUCUCCCUUUCUCCAUUUGAACCCCGUUCUCCAGAAAACACCCCGUGUCUCCCUUUCUCCAUUUGAACCCCGUUCUCCAGUCUCUUGUGAUAAUUCCGCUGGCAACGCCGGAAAUAACACCAAACACCACUCUGAUGGCGACAUAUCAGAGGGUACACCUUCACAACCGGAAGGUAACAUGUGCGCUUCUUCCUCCGAAGACACCCAUAACGACUUCUCCUGGCCUCGCCAAAGUCUAAGGUGACACAUGAUCAGAAGACAAUCCUGAGGACCUCAUCCCGGAUACGAUCUUCAACUCCAAUCUCCAUUUGAACCCCGCUCUCCAGAAAAUGCCCAGCACUUCCUUUUCUCCAUUUGAACCUCGUUCUUCGCGCUGAUCGUGUAACGUUCUCUGAUCUUCAUUUCCAUCUCCGGCCGACGGAAAAUUUUCCUCCAAUAUCGCACUACUGGGGAACAUUGUUGCUCCAACGUCACGAUGCUAAACUCCUCAGAGUAACAUCUUCCAACUUCCAUCUCGCACGACAGAAAUCUUCCUCCAAUAUCGCACUACUGGGGAAUACCGUUGAUUCAACGUCACGAUGCCAAACUCCUCAGAGUAACAUCUUCACCAACUUCCAGCUAGACCAAUUCUCAAACGGUAACCACGGCUUGAGUAACAUCUUCACCAACCAGCUAAACUAAUUCUCAAACGGUAACCGCGGCUUGAGACUAGCUUAUGCUUGCAAUGUUGAUGCAUGAGUUUCUUUUUUACAGCGUAAUGCUCCAUAACCAUGGAAAUGCUACGCAAUAAGUUAUGCAAUAUGCUAUGCUUUUCUAAAUGAUGAAUGCAUAAAAAGUAUCCCCCUCAGGGGACUCUACUGGGGAGCUCGAGGCGCUCUAUUGAGAAACUUGAUACCACCCCAAACCUCCAACCCUACUGGGGAAUAGCACCGAUGUUGGGGAAAGAACAACCCUCACCAGGGAUGACCUCCACUGGACCCGAUCCGCUUGGGGACUUCACGGGGGAAGACAGCCACCAACGCACACCUCCGCUGGGGAAACAGCAACCUUCCGGCUUGCUGGGGAUAUAACAAUCUCCACCAUGCUAGGGGAAACAACAACCUUCAGGCCUGACUGCCGAAGAAACCGAUCUCGAACCUGCUGGGGAGAUACGUCACAUUUGACACAGAACAUCUGUCGACUCGUCGAACCCUGGCAUUCACCAUCUACCCACAGUGUCAACUUUCCACUUCUUCAGACUUUGAAGAGUCUUCUUGAUUAACACUCAAGGAUCGUCGCAAUUCCUUCAUCGUUCUUCUAUUCCUCGUCCCUGAUUGGACUCCACGGGAAUCUUUCGUCAAAAGGCUUCACAUCACAACCUGCUAGUGAGUGAAAAUAUCUAACAGCACCUGCAAAAGAGAUCGUUAGAUAAAAACGUGCCCCAGGCGUGCCAAGAUUUCAACACCUGGGUCAUUUUACCUUCCAAAUAAGAUUUCAAGCUUUCAAUCCUAUGAACAUGCAUUGGAAGGGACCCCUAUGUCUCAAAAUGCAAAGAUUCUUAUCAAAAUAAACAAAUGUUUUUGCAAUCAAAGCGGUAAUGAAAACAAAAACAAAAUUAUUUGACUGAAUAUGCAUUUUAUUGAUUGAAAAGGUGGCUCAUAAUUGAGCAGUACACAGGAAGCAAUCCCUGAAAAGAGGUAAUUGCGCACAAAAGGAAAAAUCUAUCCUAAUGGCAAUGUGAACCUGUGACCUCAUCGAGUUCCAACUCGGCUACACCCCAUAUGUCCUCAAGACCCUCUGCACUUUCUGCCUUCUGAACAAGACGCUUCUGACCGAUCCCUGUCGGGGAUUAUCCACGUGUCUUAACCAAAACACAAACGAUCAUGCUAAACGCAGUUGUUCGUUUCAUUCCCUCUUUUGCCUAGACCGCCCUUUCGGGUUUUCAGUCCACCGGGAUACCCUUUUUUGCCUAAGUCGCCCUUGUGGGGUUUUCGACUUGCCGGGUGUACAAUUUUUUUUCCUUUUUAUCCCUAAUUUUUUCCCGAACCUUUUUCAUUUUUUUUUCGGUUCGCCGGGAUGCCCCUUUUUGCCUGGACUAUUUUAUUCUUUUCGUCCAGCGGGUCUCUUAUACGAAGUAUUUUUUAACUGCGUCCGCAUUCACAGGGGAUGGAAAAUCCUCGCCAUCCAUGGUCGUCAACAACAAGGCUCCUCCAGAGAAAACCUUCUUGACCACGAAUGGACCUUCAUAGUUGGGUGUCCACUUGCCCCGACGAUCGUUUUGAGGAGGAAGGAUCUUUUUCAACACCAUAUCUCCUACGUGGUACACACGAGGUCGCACUUUUCGGUCAAAGGCACGCUUCAUCUGCUACUGGUACAACUGCCCAUGACAAAUGGCCGUCAGCCUCUUUUCCUCAAUCAGGCUCAGCUCUUCGUACCGAGUCCUUACCCAUUCAGCCUCUUCUAGUUUUACAUCCAUCAGGACUCUCAACGAAGGAAUCUGAACCUCAACCGAUAUCACAGUUUCCAUUCCAUACACAAGUGAAAAAGGCGUUGCCCCAGUAGAUGUACGCACCGAGGAUCGAUACCCAUGCAAUGCAAACGGCAACAUCUCGUGCCAGUCUUUAUAGGUCACAACCAUCUUCUGCACAAUCUUCUUAAUAUUCUUAUUAGCUACCUCGACCGCCCCAUUCAUCUUCGGACGAUAAGGAGAAGAAUUGUGAUGCUCUAUCUUGAAUUCCCGGCACAGUUCUGCUAUCAUCUUGUUAUUGAGAUUAGAACCAUUAUC